AGUGAGCGCUCGGGGGUAUAUAUAAGAUUACAUAUCGUCGCAAUUUUCUCGCAAGGUUACGACGAAAUAGCGAGCAAUUACAAAGGCCCGCGUUUUAUUGUACGAGGAAAUAGUGAGGAAUUACAAAGGUCCGCGUUUUUAUAUACGAGGUAUUAACGACGAUUUUAAUAUCGUUGCAAAUUCGUCGUAAGGUUACGACGAAAUAGCGAGCAAUUACAAAGGCCCUCGUUUUAUUGUACGGGGAAAUAGCGAGAAAUUACAAAGGUCCGCGUUUUUAUAUACUUGAUAUUAACGAGCCGUGCUUUACUAUAAAUAUACCCACAACUCUCCUUCUCAAACCACACACAAACUUUCAAAUCACACCCUAUCUCAAAUCACACUCCUCAGCAAAAUCAUAUUCAAAUUAUAAAUAUUUGAAAAAAAAGGAAAAGAAGAAGAUAUU
rnacentral:lncRNA from 1 species